rnacentral:rRNA from 1 species
AUUGAACGCUGGCGGCAGGCUUAACACAUGCAAGUCGAGCGGGGUGAUGGUGCUUGCACUAUCACUUAGCGGCGGACGGGUGAGUAAUGCUUAGGAAUCUGCCUAUUAGUGGGGGACAACAUCUCGAAAGGGAUGCUAAUACCGCAUACGUCCUACGGGAGAAAGCAGGGGAUCACUUGUGACCUUGCGCUAAUAGCUGAGCCUAAGGCGGAUUAGCUAGUUGGUGGGGUAAAGGCCUACCAAGACGACGAUCUGUAGCGGGUCUGAGAGGAUGAUCCGCCACACUGGGACUGAGACACGGCCCAGACUCCUACGGGAGGCAGCAGUGGGGAAUAUUGGACAAUGGGGGGAACCCUGAUCCAGCCAUGCCGCGUGUGUGAAGAAGGCCUUAUGGUUGUAAAGCACUUUAAGCGAGGAGGAGGCUCUUUUGGUUAAUACCCAAGAUGAGUGGACGUUACUCGCAGAAUAAGCACCGGCUAACUCUGUGCCAGCAGCCGCCGUAA